rnacentral:rRNA from 1 species
GGAAAACUUACCAGGUCCGGACAUAGUAAGGAUUGACAGAUUGAAGCUCUUUCUUGAUUCUGUGGGUGGUGGUGCAUGGCCGUUCUUAGUUGGUGGAGUGAUUUGUCUGGUUAAUUCCGUUAACGAACGAGACCUCAGCCUACUAUUGUAGUUACAGUGCAUUCUCUUGAAUGUGGCUUAACUUCUUAGAGGGACUGUCAGAUUUAAACUGACGGAAGUUUGAGGCAAUAA